GCGCUGGGGCUUCAUUGGUAGAGUUCUCACCUUCCAUGUGGGAGACCCAAGUUCGAUUCCUGGUCAAUGCA
rnacentral:tRNA from 1 species